AUGGGGCUCGGGCAUACGCCACAGCUGGGAGGAGCCCCGCAAGCAGGCGUCCCUUCUGCAUCCCGGGCGCUAGGACCCUCCGCGCCUGCCAGGGCGCGCAUCCUCCCGAACCGGCCCCCGCAGGCCUCGGCCCCUUUAAGACGGCCUUGGAGGACCGGGUUUCAGAGCCUCCGGCGACUCUCUGGCCGCCGCCUCGGUGGUGCGUCGUCACUUCCGGCCGGAAGUGCGUGUGCGGAGCGGCUUCCGCGCCGGGGGGCGGGGAGCGGGCGGCGGCGCGGGGCUCCGCGUGUCGGGCGCGGGGUGACUGGCUCCAGCCUGGGCCGCGGGGGCCGCGACGGGGGAGGCGCCUCUGUCCCCAGGGUCAGCUCCGGUCCCCGGCGAUGGGGCGCAGGCGGGCUGCGGCGGCCCUUCCCCGCAGAUGAAGCCAGAGACGGCCCGAACGUCCUGUCUCAGCGUGGCAAGGCCCUGGGCACGCGUACAGCGCUCCAUCGUGGAAUUCACCCAUCGUUUCCUAGACUGUCGCCACCUCGUAGGAACCGUGUACUUGUCUUUUUCAACAAAGGGUCGGUCUGUGUCAUUUAAAUUACCGCCAAGAAAACUGCAAAAAGUACAUUCUCCUAUAACCUUUAGGGGGUAGAGGCCUGUUUUGAUGAUCCGUGGUUACACAUAAUGUGUUUAAAAUGAUUAUUCGUUGCGAUAUUUUUUCCAGAUCAAUUAUGCAGCUACAGCAGAAAACUAGUUCUUUUCUUGCAAACGUAAUUAAACAUGGAGCCGAGUGAGUCACAGGAAAGUCACGUGGCUUGGGCCUGGCAGCUGUGCAGUUGUGUCAUGGUUACGCAACCCCGCCUUAGACCCGUGGCCACCAUCAGCAAAACCUUCAGAUUAUUGCAUGGGAUUAAAAUAAGACUUAGACUCUCUUUGAACAGCAAGUUCUUUGUUAAAACCAGACUUGGGUUGUUAAUCCUGACUUCCACUAGAGGCUCCAUAAGCCAUAUCCCUCCCGUCUCUGCGGCUGUCCCCGUGGAACACAGUUCUUAAAGUCAAACCCCCAACUUUUGUGCCCGUUUGAAACUUUUUUUAUUUUUAAAGAUUUUAUUUAUUUAUUCAUGAGAGACAGAGAGAGAGAGAGAGAGGCAGAGACACAGGCAGAGGGAGAAGCAGGCUCCAUGCAGGGAGUCCGACGUGGGACUCGAUCCCGGGUCUCCAGGAUCACAUCCCGGGCUGAAGGCGGUGCUAAACCGCUGAGCCACCAGGGCUGCCCCAGUUUGAAANUACAUAGUUGGCAGCACCGGUCCCACUGAGUGACGUAGAGAGCCACUCCCGGUUCUCUGUAGGACGCGGGAGCACCCAGGGCCCUGCUCAUCCUAGAGCAUGAGCCGCCUCAAAAUGGGGGCCUGUGGAGGGAGGUGACCGUUGUCUCCCGGUGACCCAGGGGGAUGGGGGCGGCUAGUAUAGUUCAGGGUGGCAGUCCCCUUGUGCAGACUUCACUUGGGACAGAACUCCCCAGGGAAUGGCUGCUGGCCCUCAGCACUGGUCCCUGGAAGCUGCUGGGCGCUGCCCACCUCGGCUUCCUCCUGUGUUUCCAGCCCCGCAGGAGCCAUCCACUGCAGAGAACUCUCCCGGGCCUUCCUGCCCUUUGAGUGUUGGCCACGUGUUGAUGUGAGAAGAGGAGAAACCAUGAGUGGUGGUUGCUCUGUCUCCUGCUCCUCGCAUUGCAAUUAGGGCAGGACGUAUGUAUGUUGUUACGUGGCGUAGAGUGGUCGUCCUGACCUUCAGAUGUGGUCGUGCUGCCCCUCGGGUUCCUCCUGCAGCUUGUGUCUGGGUCUUGGACGUACUUGGUCGAUCCCUUGACUUAACAUCUUCUGGCCCAGCCCUUCCUUGUCCAGCUCUACUCCCAGGAGGGUCUGGCUCACGAGUGCCUGACCGAGCCCAGAAUGCAGCUUCAGACCCGCAAGGUGAGCCGUUGGUGGCCUUUAUGACGGACUUGUAGUCAGAGGGACCGCAGAUGUGCUGGGAAGGCAGGGCCGCCCGGGACACGUGCGUUCUCGCGUCAGCAGUGAGGGGCAGGAGUACCACGUUCUCCACAGUGUGGGGUUAGCCCCACAUCCCAGCUCCGCGCCAGCCUGCUGUGUGACCUCAGGCCGGCCACGUCCCUGUUUCUUAGUAAGACGGGGACCAUGAUGACGGUGACCCCUGAGGAAAUCGUGUGAAGUGCUCAGGAGCCCUUCAGAUCCAUGGGCUGGCUGUUGUACAUUCUUGGAUUUCCAGAGCAUCUCUUGGUAGUUGGGGCUGCAAGAUUCCAGAGUGGGGUCCAGGGUGCCGUCUGCCACUGGAAGGUCACCCCUGCUUCCAGAGUGGGAGCUGGGGUGGGUUUGCUACAGGCUCUUGGUGUUUUCACCUCUUUGCGCUGCUCGCAAGAGCGCAUAACUCCUGGAGUGGGCACCUGCCCUGCUCUCCAUGCUUGUCUUUAGAGAAAGGGUAGUAAUUGCCCAUAUUAACAUCUUGUGUUAGGAUACGUAUACUGAGGGAGACUGGACAUGUUGGUGUUUCUGAAAUAAACCGUUUUGAGCCUACUCCCCGCUUUGUUCU
ensembl:lncRNA